GCAUGGGUGGCUCAAUCGGUUGAGUGACAGACUUUGGCUCAGGUCAUGAUCUCACUGUUCUGUUCGUGGGUUCGAUCCCCAUGUCAGGCU
rnacentral:tRNA from 1 species